rnacentral:rRNA from 1 species
AUUGCCCUAGUAACGGCGAGUGAAGCGGCAACAGCUCAAAUUUGAAAUCUGGCUCCCCUUGGGGGUCCGAGUUGUAAUUUGCAGAGGGUGCUUUGGCGUUGGUGGCGGUCUAAGUUCCUUGGAACAGGACAUCGCAGAGGGUGAGAAUCCCGUUUGUGGUCGCCUGCCUUCGCCGUGUAAAGCCCCUUCGACGAGUCGAGUUGUUUGGGAAUGCAGCUCUAAAUGGGAGGUAAAUUUCUUCUAAAGCUAAAUACCGGCCAGAGACCGAUAGCGCACAAGUAGAGUGAUCGAAAGAUGAAAAGCACUUUGGAAAGAGAGUCAAACAGCACGUGAAAUUGUUGAAAGGGAAGCGCUUGCAGCCAGACUUGCCCGUAGAUGCUCACCCAGGCUUUUGCCCGGGGCACUCUUCUGCGGGCAGGCCAGCAUCAGUUUGGGCGGUCGGAUAAAGGCCUCUGUCACGUAUCUUCCUUCGGGAUGACCUUAUAGGGGAGGCGACAUGCGACCAGCCCGGACUGAGGUCCGCGCUUCUGCUAGGAUGCUGGCGUAAUGGCUGUAAGCGGCCCGUCUUGAAACACGGACCAAGGAGUCUAACAUCUAUGCGAGUGUUUGGGUGUCAAGCCCGAGCGCGUAAUGAAAGUGAACGGAGGUGGGAACCCUUUGGGUGCACCAUCGACCGAUCCUGAUGUCUUCGGAUGGAUUUGAGUAAGAGCAUAGCUGUUGGGACCCGAAAGAUGGUGAACUAUGCUUGAAUAGGGUGAAGCCAGAGGAAACUCUGGUGGAGGCUCGCAGCGGUUCUGACGUGCAAAUCGAUCGUCAAAUUUGGGCAUAGGGGCGAAAGACUAAUCGAACUAUCUAGUAGCUGGUUCCUGCCGAAGUUUCCCUCAGGAUAGCAGUAACGUUUUCAGUUUUAUGAGGUAAAGCGAAUGAUUAGAGGCCUGGGGGUUGAAACAACCUUCACCUAUUCUCAAACUUUAAAUAUGUAAGAAGUCCUUGUUACUUGAUUGAACGUGGACAUUUGAAUGUAUCGUUACUAGUGGGCCAUUUUUGGUAAGCAGAACUGGCGAUGCGGGAUGAACCGAACGCGGGGUUAAGGUGCCAGAAUGCACGCUCAUCAGACACCACAAAAGGUGUUAGUUCAUCUGGACAGCAGGACGGUGGCCAUGGAAGUCGGAAUCCGCUAAGGAGUGUGUAACAACUCACCUGCCGAAUGAACUAGCCCUGAAAAUGGAUGGCGCUCAAGCGUGUUACCCAUACCCCGCCGCUGGGGCAGACAUUAUGCCCCAGCGAGUAGGCAGGCGUGGAGGUCCG